UAAUUAAUAAGUUGCGUUUCUGAAAAUAAAUUUUUGUUUCAUUAAAAAAAAUUAACAUGAACAAUUCAUGUAAUUUUACUUAUUUUAUUGAUAACAAUGUUAAAAAAUUUUAUCACAAUAAUUGGAGUGGCUUAAAAUAAAUAAGAAUUUUUAGAUUUUAAAAAUGAGACAUAUUGUGAUGAUCCAAAAGUGCACAAAUCAAAGUAAUAUAUAUGAGUAUUGAACUCAAAAGGAAUAAAAAGUCGUAUAAAUCAAUCGAAAUAAUAGAUGUUAGGGUAAUGGAGUUUAGAUACCAACUUAAACAACUAAUUGAAUGAGUGCUGAUUUUAAUAGAUACUAUAAAAAGCAGAAAAAUAAAUGCAUAAAAGUGAAUAACUUGAAGGGAACUUUUUGAAUAAAUACUGGAUCUAUAGCUCAAACCCAAACAAUCAAACAAACCAAGUCCAAAACAAUAAAACCCUUUCAGAAAAUAAACAAAGAAACAGAAAAAUAAACCGAAAGCAGAAAAACAAUAAAACACAGCCCAAGAAAGCAGCCCACACAAAUAAAGACCCAACAAAAUCAACGGCAGUGGAAAACUCUGGAGACCAUUACGUCUCAGCUGGCAUCAACAACACCCCUCUUGAAGAUAACGCCAUCGCCUGGGAAAAGCAAACUUCAUUCAUAUCAAUCGUUUCUUCCAUCAGUCAACAGCAAUUAAUAUUCACCGACUUCCUUCCCACUUUUCUUCUUGAGAAAUCCAAAAAGUAAAGCUUACUGCAAAACUCCUCCCACUUCCUCUUCAAACGUCCGUCCUCUCAACUCCCUCUGGCGCUCCGUCCAUCUCCUCUCCUCAUCCGCCACAGCCUCAGCCUCAGGAGGAACAACUCGUUUUUCAAUAGUGUCGGAAAUUGAUUUUGAGGUAACAAAUUUAACGAGUAAAUUCGUAAAUAUUAUUAUUUAAUAUUUACGAGUUAAAUAUGGUAUUAAAUUAAUUUUUAAAUUGACAAUUUAUGCUAUUUGAAUUAAUAAUUAGGUUCAAGUGAUAUAAUUUUAAAGUCAAGUGAUUUUAGAAAAUAAUGUAUCAAGACCUCGUUUCUAUAAAUCGAGUUUUAUUAAAAUUUUGUUAAGAAAUUUUAAUAUUUAGAUAGUUAAUUAAAUAAAAAAAAUUAAAUUGUAAAAUUUAUAAAAUUUAGUCAUAAUUAAAUUACAAUAAUUAAAUGGUUUAAUCAUUAAAAGGAGGAGGACUCAUAGAAGUUGGACCAUAUUAAUUGUAAAUGUACAGUUAAAGGUCUUUUAAUUUGUUAAAUUAUUAGAUAUAAGGUUAAUGUUGUAAAUUAAUAAAGAUAAGUUAAAAAUAUUAAUUAAAACAUAGCAUCAUCUUCCAAAUGGGAUCAUCAUCGAAUGACCAUUGGAGAAGCUUGUAAGGUUCGGUAAAUGUACCCUUUGUAUGUAAGUUCAAUUUGAACUUAAUUUUUUUGUAAUUUUUAUUCGUUACAAUUAGGUUCAGUUAAUUCGUACUUUCGUUUUUGGAACUUAUAAAAAUUUUAAAUGAUACUGUAGAGGCUCAAUUUAGCCCGGGAUUAUAAACCCAAAAUAAAAUAAAUAAAAAGUAAAAAUUUAAAUAUUAUUAACAGUCUAUCAAUCCAAAUAUCAAAAAUCAGCCCAAAACAUUUACAUUAACCUAAGUAGCCCAAAAUGCCCCUGGCGCAAAUGGGCCAAAACUUAAACAAACUUUAGCCAGCUAGGAACCCUAGCAGCAAGGAGCGCUGCAGCCCUAGCCUUCAGUGUGCCUACGUACGACCCCUGCACGCCUCCGUACGCCACCCUCGAUCCUCCACGUCGCCUUUCGUACUUGUAAGAAUACAAAAGGGACAACAGCAGAACAGAUACAAAAAAGAGGAACAGAUUUUUGUAUUCUUUUUCUUUUUUCUUUAUUUUUGCUUUCGGCUACAAAAGCCAAAGAGAGGGAAUGUAAUGAACACACACGCACAUAACACAACAAAAAAAUCAAUCAAUACAAAAAAAGCUUGAAAAGAAAAAAGUCUCCACAAGGUGAUUUUAAUCUCGUUUUUCUUUCGAUUUAGUUUUUGUUUUCUUUGAUUUAUCUACUGCAUAAAAAAAGCGAAUAAAGGGGAGGGCAAAUCAAAUACAAAGAAAUCAAUUUUGUUUAAAGAAAAAGAGGGAGGAGAGCCUUAUCUUGUAGAUAUGUCGAAGGUUUUUCUCACUUUGUUGCAAUCGAAGUUGAAAAGAGAUCUCAAGGCUGAAAGUUCUCCAUCGUUGGCAGGUUUAGGCCAUCGUCUGCGCUGUCUGCCCCUGAAUCUGGUGGUGGUUCGGCUGCUGCAAGUUUAUUGACUGAAAUCCUAGUUGAAAGGGCUAAGAAUUUCGGGGGUUUUUGCUUAGAAAAAUGGUUUUGUAAGCUUUUAAAAUAUAAAUGUAUGAUAAAAGUUAUAUUAAAUUUAAAGUGGUGCAAUUAAGGUAGAAACUCGCGUGUUGACCUGCUCAUUAGGUUGGAAUUGCGCAUUUCCACCUUAAAGGGGUAAUUUGCGCGAACAGUCCCUCCCAUUUGCACCACCUUUAAUUUAAUCCUAUUCUAUUUCUUUCAUUUUUGCCCUGAACUUUGCGCGCCCCUCCAAUUUAGUCCGCGCUUGAGUGCUUUUUUUGGGUUGAGAACAUUGGCACUUUUAGCCCUUGUGCAUUCAUACGCAUUGCAUUUUGGUCCUUACGUCAGUUUCAUUGAUUUAUUUUUAUUUAUUAAUUAUCUUUGUUAGUUUAAUACUAUUUCAAUUAAGUUUUCUUUUCAUUUCAAUAUGUGUAGUUUUUUAUUUUUUCUAGAAAAUUUCAUUUAAUAUUCAUCUUUAAAUGCUAUAAUAAUUUCACUUUGUUUAUUUCUUUUAUUUAUCGGUUUAAAUCUUAAAAUUAUUGUUUCAAAAUUCUCUUUUAUAUUAUAUUGUCUUGAAAUAUUGU
rnacentral:lncRNA from 1 species